rnacentral:rRNA from 1 species
GAUGAACGCUGGCGGCGUGCUUAACACAUGCAAGUCGAACGGUGAAGCCAAGCUUGCUUGGUGGAUCAGUGGCGAACGGGUGAGUAACACGUGAGCAACCUGCCCUGGACUCUGGGAUAAGCGCUGGAAACGGCGUCUAAUACUGGAUAUGAGACGUGAUCGCAUGGUCAACGUUUGGAAAGAUUUUUCGGUCUGGGAUGGGCUCGCGGCCUAUCAGCUUGUUGGUGAGGUAAUGGCUCACCAAGGCGUCGACGGGUAGCCGGCCUGAGAGGGUGACCGGCCCAACUGGGACUGAGACACGGCCCAGACUCCUACGGGAGGGAGCAGUGGGGAAUAUUGCACAAUGGGCGGAAGCCUGAUGCAGCAACGCCGCGUGAGGGAUGACGGCCUUCGGGUUGUAAACCUCUUUUAGCAGGGAAGAAGCGAAAGUGACGGUACCUGCAGAAAAAGCGCCGGCUAACUACGUGCCAGCCGCCGCGGUAA